UUGAACGCUGGCGGCAGGCCUAACACAUGCAAGUCGAGCGCGAAAGGUUUUCGGACUGAGUAAAGCGGCGGACGGGUGAGUAACGCGUGGGAAUCUGCUCAGUAGUGGGGGACAACAGCCGGAAACGGCUGCUAAUACCGCAUACGCCCUACGGGGGAAAGGGGGGGAUCUUCGGACCUCUCGCUAUUGGAUGAGCCCGCGUCGGAUUAGCUAGUUGGUAGGGUAAAGGCAUACCAAGGCUACGAUCCGUAACUGGUCUGAGAUCAUGAUCAGUCACACUUGAACGGGGAAACGGUCGAGGCUCCUACGGGAGUCAGGAGUGGGGCAUAAUGGCACAGGGGGGCAACCCUUAUCCAGCCAUGCCGCGUGUGUGAAGAAGGCCUUAGGGUUGUAAAGCACUUUCAGUGGGGAGAAAGGUUUCUCACCUAAUACGUGAUGAAAUUGAUGUUACCCACAGAAGAAGCACCGGCUAACUCCGUGCAAGCCGCCGCCGUAA
rnacentral:rRNA from 1 species